rnacentral:rRNA from 1 species
AGUGAACGCUGGCGGUAGGCCUAACACAUGCAAGUCGAACGGCAGCACAGUAAGAGCUUGCUCUUACGGGUGGCGAGUGGCGGACGGGUGAGGAAUACAUCGGAAUCUACUUUUUCGUGGGGGAUAACGUAGGGAAACUUACGCUAAUACCGCAUACGACCUACGGGUGAAAGCAGGGGAUCUUCGGACCUUGCGCGAUUGAAUGAGCCGAUGUCGGAUUAGCUAGUUGGCGGGGUAAAGGCCCACCAAGGCGACGAUCCGUAGCUGGUCUGAGAGGAUGAUCAGCCACACUGGAACUGAGACACGGUCCAGACUCCUACAGGAGGCAGCAGUGGGGAAUAUUGGACAAUGGGCGCAAGCCUGAUCCAGCCAUACCGCGUGGGUGAAGAAGGCCUUCGGGUUGUAAAGCCCUUUUGUUGGGAAAGAAAAGCAGCAGGUUAAUACCCCGCUGUUAUGACGGUACCCAAAGAAUAAGCACCGGCUAACUUCGUG